rnacentral:rRNA from 1 species
UUGAACGCUGGCGGUAGGCCUAACACAUGCAAGUCGAACGGUAACAGGAAGCAGCUUGCUGCUUUGCUGACGAGUGGCGGACGGGUGAGUAAUGUCUGGGAAACUGCCCGAUGGAGGGGGAUAACUACUGGAAACGGUAGCUAAUACCGCAUAACGUCGCAAGACCAAAGAGGGGGACCUUAGGGCCUCUUGCCAUCGGAUGUGCCCAGAUGGGAUUAGCUAGUAGGCGGGGUAACGGCUCACCUAGGCGACGAUCCCUAGCUGGUCUGAGAGGAUGACCAGCCACACUGGAACUGAGACACGGUCCAGACUCCUACGGGAGGCAGCAGUGGGGAAUAUUGCACAAUGGGCGCAAGCCUGAUGCAGCCAUGCCGCGUGUAUGAAGAAGGCCUUCGGGUUGUAAAGUACUUUCAGCGGGGAGGAAGGGAGUAAAGUUAAUACCUUUGCUCAUUGACGUUACCCGCAGAAGAAGCACCGGCUAACUCCGUG